rfam:Camelus ferus unplaced genomic scaffold scaffold1807, whole genome shotgun sequence.
GAGGGUAUAGCUCAAGUGGUAGAGUGCAUGCUAGCAUGCACAAGAUCUUGGGUUCAAUUCCCAGUACCUCCU